GCCUGGAUGGCUCAAUCAGUUAAGCGUCUGCCUUCGGCUCAGAUCAUGAUCUCUGGGUCCUGGGAUUGAGUCCCAUUUCAGGCU
rnacentral:tRNA from 1 species